rnacentral:rRNA from 1 species
UACGGAGGAUCCGAGCGUUAUCCGGAAUUAUUGGGUUUAAAGGGUGCGUAGGCGGCUUUUUAAGUCAGCGGUGAAAUUUUGCAGCUUAACUGUAACAGUGCCGUUGAUACUGGGGAGCUAGGAUUUGGUUGCUGUGGGUGGAAUGUGUGGUGUAGCGGUGAAAUGCUUAGAGAUCACACAGAAUAUCGAUUGCGAAGGCAGCCCACAAAGCCAAGAUUGACGCUGAGGCACGAAAGUGUGGGGAUCAAACAGGAUUAGAUA